CCCCCCCCCCCCGCACGAGCUUAUUUGAUUGUGCUAGCUGCUAGGUGGUUGUUGCAUACUGGUCUUUCCUCUUCUCUUGCCACCUCGGGCAGCCUCAACUGGCUUAAAAUGAUACAUGCUUCAUACCUAGAUCAUUUGGUGUUGAAUUUUUCUUAUAAGCCAUGGCGAAUUCCCGGGUUGGACGUUACAAGAUGUCUAAUCUCUCUGACCCUUCAAAAGAAGAUGCUUCACCAGAGGGUUCAGGUACUAUACAGAAAACUGGAGCCUGGAGUAACACAUUGAACACUCUUCUGCAGCAAGCAUCUGUCUAUGGUGUUGCUGCUGGGUAUUGUCUAUCAGCAUCUCUGCUUUCCAUCAUCAACAAAUGGGCAGUCAUGAAAUUUCUGUAUCCUGGAGCCCUGACAGCUCUGCAGUACUUCACUAGUGUUGCUGGAGUUCUCCUCUGUGGACAGCUAAAGCUCAUUGAGCAUGAUGGCCUCAAUUUGAGGACUAUGUGGAAGUUCUUACCUGCUGCUGUGAUGUUCUAUAUUUCCAUCUUCACAAACAGUGAACUCCUGCUGCAUGCCAAUGUGGACACUUUCAUCGUGUUCCGCUCUGCUGUGCCGAUAUUUGUCGCCAUCGGAGAGACGCUGUAUCUUCAUCAACCAUGGCCAUUGCUGAUGUCGGCUUUCACUUUCGACUAUACUUGGCGGAAGUGUGAUCUAUGUUUUCACAGACAACCAAUUCACCGUGACCGCUUACACCUGGGCGGUGGCCUACCUAGCGAGCAUGUCCAUUGAUUUUGUGUACAUAAAGCAUGUUGUCAUGACCAUUGGGCUGAACACAUGGGGCCUUGUGCUAUACAACAACCUUGAGGCUUUGAUGCUGUUCCCCCUUGAGCUCCUUAUAAUGGGAGAGUUUGAUGAGAUGAAGGUUGACAGCUCCAAAGUGUCAAAUUGGCUUUCAUUCGACGUGGUCCUCCCUGUUGCUCUCUCAUGCCUAUUUGGGCUGUCGAUAUCCUUCUUCGGGUUCUCCUGCAGACGGGCUAUCUCGGCUACUGGGUUCACAGUACUUGGCAUAGUGAACAAACUCCUAACCGUGGUGAUUAAUCUGCUUAUCUGGGACAAGCAUGCCUCCUUUGUGGGUACCAUUGGGCUCCUGAUAUGCAUGUCAGGUGGUGUACUCUACCAGCAAUCCACCACAAAACCGAAAGCACCAAAGGUUGAGCCGAAGGAAGACAAUGAUGAGGAGCAGCAGAAAUUGCUGCAGAUGCAGGGAGGGCAAGAAAACAACUCAACUCAUAAGUAAAGCUCUUCAUAAACCUGAAGAGAAGUUCACCAUUGAUGUGGUACCUCCUUUGCAACAGCCUCACGCCCUCACCUGAACACUUGGGUACCAGUUAAUACUUGGAAACAAACAUAUGGAUGGAUGGUAGUCCUGGACUAGGCGCUGCAAAAUCUCGAAAUGUUUUAGAUAUUAGAAGCCAUGGAGGGGAUCCAACUAUCAUCAUGCAAUUCUGUUUUUUCAUUUGUAACACUAUAUGUCAAGAUUGUUAUGGUAGGGUACCUGGGACUUGUCAAAUGUACCUACCUGCAUUGAAUACGUCCUAUAUGAAAGCAUCUAUCUCAUACAUUGUGUUGGUGACGGUA